rnacentral:lncRNA from 1 species
AGUGUUGCUUGGUUCAUUAAGCUUGAAACAUACUAAACAUACCAUGGCACACAGUAAAUUAACCCCCAAACACUAGUUUUCUGUUCUGUCUUCACAGUUUAUCGUUUACUGCACACAGAUAUGAUUUCUGUGCACACAGUUUAUCGUUUAUUGCACACAGAUAUGUGCCAUGUGCACACAAUUUAUUGCAGAUAGAUAUGAUUUCUGUGCACACAGUAUACCCACCCCGUACGUCUCCAAGUGAAGGUUUGUCAAAGCUGCGCGGUUAAAUAAAAAGGUGUGUGAUAAUUUAUGAUUCGAUAUAUAUAAUGCCAUCAUUCGACAAACUUUUACACCCUUGGCACACCUUUCGCACAUCCUUCAUUUUUUAUCUACUUUGUCAGUAUUAUCCUUUAGUGUGAUACUCCACAUCAUCUAGUUAUUUCAGUCAAAUGGACUUGCAUGGAGGCACUCCUUUUGCACACCCUUGGCACACCUUUCGCACAUCCUUGGCACACCAUGGCAUACAAUUUCAAUCCCAUGGCACGCCAUGGCACACUAUGUAUUCUUAUUAUACAUGAUAUUAUACACCAUGUUUUUCUAAUUGAAAUCUGAAAAAGGAAAAAAGAACACCGCUUUUAGUUCUGUGCACACAGUUACCUGUUACCUGCACUCAGAUAUGGUUUCUGUGCACACUUAAAACUUAAGCAAUCUGAUUUUUUUCCCUUUACUUAUCUGGUACUUUCAGAUUCGAGAUGGUC